CAAAAUAUUAUUUCAGAUUUUUUUUCUCUGUCUCCCUUCUAAGACCAUCUCCUACCGUAGCCUUCCCCAACCUUCUCUUCAGCUGUGCUGGAAUUGCAUUCGCACAAUUCUUAGCCAUUACCAGAUCAAGGAAAACAUCCUAUCAUUUUGGUACAGUGCAAUAUAACUGGCAAUCAAAGGUACAAAACGGGGAGAACAGAACUUUUUAAGCUAACUAUGAGUCGCAGUGGCAAAGUGGUCAGAGUGCAGUACUGCAGGCUACUUCUGCUGAUCACCAGCAGUUUGGCAGAUCGAAUCUCACCAGGCUCAAGGUUGACUCAGCCUUCCAUCCUUCCGAGGAAGAGAAGUGGCCAAAAUAAUAAAAGGGAAACAUUCCUGCAAUUAAUUGUCUUCCUCCUGUUCCUGCAUUUGUAUGCCCUGCCUUUAAAAGGAGAAAAGAAGAAUAAAGGAAAUGGGCUGUGCGUGACUAAGAAAAGAUGAUCAGCUUUGCAGGACAACGGAAGGAGAAAUUCCAAGGACAUCUGCAGGGGAGGAAGGAAAAGUCAAAAUGGAAGUCACAAUCACAUGGUUGAAGCCCAACCAUUCAACUGCAUUGUUACAACAACCAUCUUAAUGUUUUUCAUACCCUUCUCCCCAAUGCCCUGGCACAACGUCUAAGAGAAUAAGCAAAAAGAAGCUGGACAUACCAAGUUUAAAAAAAAAUACAGAAAAAUGUGAGCAGCAUUCAAACAAGCUCCAAAAAACAAAAACAAGAGCAGAAAAUAAAACAUAUCAACUAACAUUAGAUUUACCAAUCCACUAGACUUAAAAGGUCUUUUGGGAAAAUAAAUACAUCCUGUCCAUGAAAUCAAAAA